GACGAACGCUGGCGGCGUGCCUAAUACAUGCAAGUCGAACGCAGUGGGGACGGGUGAGUAACACGUGGGUAACCUCCCCGCAGAGGGGGUAACACUUUGAAACCGGUGCUAAACCGAUACUGCUGGAUGGACCCGCGGAGCAUUACCUAGUUGGUGAGGUAACGGCGCACAAAGGCCACGAUGCAUAGACGAUCUGAGAGGGUGAUCGGCCACACUGUGAAUGAGACACGGCCCAGACUCCUAAGGGAGGCAGCAGUAGGGAAUCUUAGGAAAUGGACGAAAGUCUGACCGAGCAGCGCCGCGUGAGUGAAGAAGGUUUGCGGAUCGUAAAACUCUGUUGUUAGAGAAGCGGUAGCUAACCAGAAAGCCACGGCUAACUUCGUGCCAGCAGCCGCGGUAAUAC
rnacentral:rRNA from 1 species